rnacentral:rRNA from 1 species
GAUGAACGCUGGCGGCGUGCCUAAUAUAUGCAAGUAGAACGCUGAAGCUUGGUGCUUGCACCGAGCGGAUGAGUUGCGAACGGGUGAGUAACGCGUAGGUAACCUGCCUGGUAGCGGGGGAUAACUAUUGGAAACGAUAGCUAAUACCGCAUAACAGUCGACAUUGCAUGAUGUUGAUUUGAAAGGGGCAAUUGCUCCACUACCAGAUGGACCUGCGUUGUAUUAGCUAGUUGGUGAGGUAACGGCUCACCAAGGCGACGAUACAUAGCCGACCUGAGAGGGUGAUCGGCCACACUGGGACUGAGACACGGCCCAGACUCCUACGGGAGGCAGCAGUAGGGAAUCUUCGGCAAUGGGGGCAACCCUGACCGAGCAACGCCGCGUGAGUGAAGAAGGUUUUCGGAUCGUAAAGCUCUGUUGUAAGAGAAGAACGAGUGUGAGAGUGGAAAGUUCACGCCGUGACGGUAUCUUACCAGAAAGGGACGGCUAACUACGUGCCAGCAGCCGCGGUAAUACGUAGGUCCCGAGCGUUAUCCGGAUUUAUUGGGCGUAAAGCGAGCGCAGGCGGUUAGAUAAGUCUGAAGUUAAAGGCUGUGGCUUAACCAUAGUACGCUUUGGAAACUGUUUAACUUGAGUGCAGAAGGGGAGAGUGGAAUUCCAUGUGUAGCGGUGAAAUGCGUAGAUAUAUGGAGGAACACCGGUGGCGAAAGCGGCUCUCUGGUCUGUAACUGACGCUGAGGCUCGAAAGCGUGGGGAGCAAANNGG